rnacentral:ncRNA from 1 species
UUUCCCUCAGGAUAGCUGGCGCUCUCGCUCUUUUCCCGACGUACGCAGUUUUAUCCGGUAAAGCGAAUGAUUAGAGGUCUUGGGGCCGAAACGAUCUCAACCUAUUCUCAAACUUUAAAUGGGUAAGGUUUUGUAUACCUUCGUGCAGUACCAUUUAGGACAAAGUACAGUGUGCAGCUACUAAGAAAUAGUCCCA